AAUAAAGAUUUUUUUUCAAAAAAACUGACUCCUGCACUUGCAGGCUGCAUUUGUGAGUAUGAUCAUUACCUCCUACGUAUGAUAUAAAGGUGUGGAACUUCACUAUUAUUUUAUAUCUUCUUUUAUCCUGAGAUAGUAUAAAGAAGAAAAUAUUACAACCAUACCCACACCACCAAAGAUCCAAAACAGACCAAUCAGCGAUGCAUACCAGAGCUAGGUCAUAUAUCUCUUGAAAUUGUGAGUGUUUAAUUGGCAAUUUUACAUACUAAAAGAUGUUUUAAAGUAUUUACAUUAUUGCACUUUAAUUUUAUGUUUAAAUGGAAACAUACCUGAUUAAAGUUGUUUGUAAAAAAAAAA